rnacentral:rRNA from 1 species
CAGUAGCCGCGGUAAUGCGUAGGUGGCAAGCGUUGUCCGGAAUUAUUGGGCGUAAAGGGCUCGCAGGCGGCUUCUUAAGUCUGGUGUGAAAGCCCCCGGCUCAACCGGGGAGGGUCAUUGGAAACUGGGAAACUUGAGUGCAGAAGAGGAGAGUGGAAUUCCACGUGUAGCAGUGAAAUGCGUAGAGAUGUGGAGGAACACCAGUGGCGAAGGCGACUCUCUGGUCUGUAACUGACGCUGAGGAGCGAAAGCGUGGGGAGCGAACAGGAUUAGAUACCCGCGUAGUCCCUUGUCUCUUAUA